rnacentral:rRNA from 1 species
AAGAGUCCUAAAGGAACGUUUAAGACUAAGACGUUGAUAGGUUGGGUGUGUAAGCGUAGCGAUACGUUGAGCUAACCAAUACUAAUGAACCGUGAGGCUUAACCUG